AUCAACUUUCGAUGGUAGGAUAGAGGCCUACCAUGGUGGUAACGGGUAACGGGGUGUUAGGGCACGGCACCGGAGAGGGAGCCUGAGAAACGGCUACCACAUCCAAGGAUGGCAGCAGGCGCGCAAAUUACCCAAUCCCGACACGGGGAGGUAGUGACAAUAAACAACAAUACGGGGUCCUUUCGGGUUUCGUAAUUGGAAUGAGUACAAUUUAAAUCUCUUAACGAGGAACAAUUGGAGGGCAAGUCUGGUGCCAGCAGCCGCGGUAAUUCCAGCUCCAAUAGCGUAUAUUAAAGUUGUUGCAGUUAAAAAGCUCGUAGUUGAAUUUCGGGAUUAGUGCGCCGGUCGUGCCUUCGGUAUGUACCGGUGUUACUGGUUCCUACCUUCUGACGAACCGUCAUGUCAUUAAUUUGGUGUGGCGGGGAAUCAGGACUGUUACUUUGAAAAAAUUAGAGUGUUUAAAGCAGGCUCGCGCUUGAAUACAUUAGCAUGGAAUAAUGAAAUAGGACGUUCGAUCCUAUUUUGUUGGUUUCUAGGAUUGACGUAAUGAUUAAUAGGGAUAGUUGGGGGCAUUAGUAUUCAAUUGUCAGAGGUGAAAUUCUUGGAUUUAUUGAAGACUAACUACUGCGAAAGCAUUUGCCAAGGAUGUUUUCAUUAAUCAAGAACGAAAGUUAGGGGAUCGAAGACGAUCAGAUACCGUCGUAGUCUUAACCAUAAACUAUGCCGACUAGGGAUCGGAUGAUGUUAUUUUUAAUGACUCAUUCGGCGCCUUACGGGAAACCAAAGUGUUUGGGUUC
rnacentral:rRNA from 1 species